UACGAAGGGGGCGAGCGUUGUUCGGAUUUACUGGGCGUAAAGGGCGCGCAGGCGGCUUAUUUUGUCAGGCGUGAAAGCCCCGGGCUUAACCUGGGAACUGCGUUUGAUACGGAUGGGCUAGAGUUCGGGAGAGGAGAGUGGAAUUCCCAGUGUAGAGGUGAAAUUCGUAGAUAUUGGGAAGAACACCGGUGGCGAAGGCGGCUCUCUGGACCGAUACUGACGCUGAGACGCGAAAGCGUGGGGAGCAGACAGGA
rnacentral:rRNA from 1 species